AGCUCCAAAAGUGUAUAUUUAAGUUGUUGCGGUUGAAAAGCUCGUAGUUGGAUUUUGGGAUGGCGCGUUCGGUCGGCCGCAAGGCUCGCACUGGACGUGCUGUCCUCACGUGACCGGUGCCUCUAAGGUGCUCUUGACCGAGUGUCUGUGUGGUCCGGGAAGUUUACCUUGAAAAAAUUAGAGUGUUCAAAGCAGGCUUGAAGCCUGAAUAAUGUUGCAUGGAAUAAUGGAAUAGGACCUCGGUUCUAUUUUGUUGGUUUUCGGAGCGCGAGGUAAUGAUUAAGAGGAACGGACGGGGGCAUCCGUACUGUGCCGUUAGAGGUGAAAUUCUUGGAUCGGCGCAAGACGAACAACUGCGAAAGCAUUUGCCAAGAAUGUUUUCUUUAAUCAAGAACGAAAG
rnacentral:rRNA from 1 species